UUGCAAGCAUAAGGUUGAUCUCAGUUGAUUUCAAUUGUUACUUUCCCUCUGUAAAAAGCAAUUGCCUAUUUGCCUAUAUAUGAUUGCAACCGGUCAAUCAUAUUUGUAUUCCAAUUUCCUAGGACAAAUACAUCUCAACACCUGCUACCAAUGGAACAAUUCUUCCUGGAAUUACAAGAAAAAGUGUCAUCGAAAUUGCUCGUGAUCAAGGCUAUCAGGUAG